AGGCUCUAGGUGGCACCAAAAGCCCGAAUAAUUGAUUUUGGGCCCAAAACAGGAGUGUAAAUGUUAAAAAAAAAAAAAAACAAGUUAUAGUCUUCAUUUUCAAAUUCCAUAAUAUAUAUAUAUAUUUUUUUCUUCUGAAAAUCCUGAAAGUUACGAUCCUAUUUUAACCAAUAGGUCAAAGGAAACCUUGAAUUCAAUGGAAUAAGUAACAUCCUAUGAACCAAAACUUUGCUAGCAGCAUUACAGCCGAUCCCAAUCCCCUUCCAAAACACGAGUACCCAAUUUUGUAAUGACCAAUCUUGUGCCAUUACACAACCCAUUUGCAUUAUCAAUAUUUGUCAACAUCAUAACAUGUAUACCAACUUUCAAUAACAAUUAAUGGUUAGGAGUCCACUCAAGAAUUCAGAAGUGUGCACAUCUUCUAAACCAUUAGAAUUAGACUCGUAGACAUAUGGUUUAUUUGAACUCAAAACAUGAUCUAGCUACCAAUCGAUUUAAAGAAAUGAUGUAUUGAUUUAUUAAAUGGAUAAGUAGCAAUUACACUCCUAACAUAGACACCCCUAUGGCGUUAGCCCCCUAUACUCAACAUUGGAUCAAUCAAGCCCCCGAUGUCCCAAUUUCGGUGCAAUUAAACCCUUCCCUAAACGGCCGUUUGACGACGUUCCUUAUUUUAUGUUUUUCGUAAGUGGUGGGACCCACCACAUUUAAUAUGCAAAUUCCACCAUUUCUUCUUCGCCAAACUCGUCGGAAAUGCCCUGCGGCCAUGCACUGCCUGUUCCCUUGCCCGGACGAGUGUGACGGGCGUCGUCCGUCCCCCGAGGCGCAAGGCGGUAAUGAAACCCCGCAUAUCCAAGUGUUGUUUUCAUAUCUGGAUGCUGGAAAUGUGGUCAGCUGGCCCUUGGAAGGAAUGAGGCCAGACAAGUUGAUUAUGACUUGAUGACCUAAACUCGUUUGUGCAUCAAGCUUUUAGGAUCUAGCCAAACAAUCCCCAGUUCCAUUUGGACUAUUGAUUAUGCUUGCUUCCUAGCUUCAUUUUUGUCUUAAAUUGACCUUCUCUAGGUAUACUGAGUUGAAAAAGAAUAUGAAAAAAGUGUGUGAUGCUUAAUUGGAUCUGCCUUUGUUUUGUCUGAGGAUGGAAAUUGUCUAAUUUAUUUCGGAUCAAUAAUUUCACAUGAAUUUUAUUUUAUGCUCUGACCUCAUUUUAAGUAGUGAAGAGAAGUGCUUUGCAUUUGUUGAUUGAUUAACAAUACAAAUCAUAGGAUGGCCCCAAGCUCACGUCUCAUCUCGAAUUUUCAGCGCAUCUUACUGCUAAUACUCGCCUCCGUUUCUGUCGUUGCAAUAAUAGUACAUGCUGAGAAGAUCUCCUACUUGAUCCGCCCUCUUCGGAAUACUCCUCAUUCAUUCCAUUUGCAAAGCUUUAAAAUUGUGUUGAAAUUAAAAAAUGAGGCAAAGUUCCUGCUUUAUUUUACUACAAUUUACCCCUUUUUGAGAGACUGCACUUUAUAUAAAGUUGAAAGUUUAUAUAUUUUCAUAUUUGUGUUAUUUAUCGAGUGAUUGAUGUAGAUUAAUUUAUUUUUUAAAAAAUAUUUUACACUUGCUUAUAUUAUAAUUCUAUUUCAUAUUUAUAUUUAUUUAUAUGUGGCGGUACUCGCCGUGCAUCGCACGGGCGAACGUACAUACUAGUUGAUUUAUAAUAGUUAGUUGUUUCGAUUUCAUAUUUGUAAGAAAAUUCAGGAAAAGAGUAAAAAGUUGGAGAAUUUAUUUGUGUGCAAAAUGAAAAAUAGUUAGUUAACUUGUGGUAGUAUAUGAAAAUGAAUAAAAGAAUAAUUGGUAUAUAUUAACAGACGUAAUUAACCCUAAUCAAUUAGGGAAGGCUAGCUACGUUAACUUUACAAGAGUGGUACGUACGAUGAAAAUAUAUCAGAAAAGCUUGCUUGCAAACUCGUUAAUGGCUUCGCCUUUGAGAGAAGAAUCCUUUGCCAGAUUUCUGAGGUCUGAUAAACUCCUUCCCAACUGCAAAGCCACCUUCAUUUCCAGCAUUUCUCCAUUCUCUCUUCGCUCAAAAUCAUCUUCGUCCAAGUUGGAUUGGAUGGAUUCUUGCAUGAGUUUAAAGAAUCCGGCAUUGCUUCUAUACAUCUCAAACACCAUUCCCACUUGGCCUCCAUGCUCGAAGGAGUUUGCGACGGUGGCCAAGGCACCGCCGCCAACGGCCAAGGCGGCAGCCCAACCACCGUGAGAAUGCAGCGAAGAGGCAACGGCGGCCAUAGCCGUGAGUAGAGGAGCGCUCUUGGCUAAUAAUUUGUUGAGGUUGAGUGCUUUUCCAGCCAACCUCAAGUAAUCUUCCUCGUCUUUGAGCUUCAUCACCUUUACUAUUUCUCUCAUUUCUUCCUCCAGCUUACCAUUCCAGCCGUUGUAGCCUUGAUUUGUAGUUUUGGGGUGGUGUUUUCUUGUGUUUUGGGGCCACCAAACCGCGGGCUCCAGAGUGGCCGGGAAUUUAUCGAGCAUGGCGCCGCCGAGGAGAGGGAGCGGAAAGGCCUUGUCGAGCGCCAAGACUUUUUCGAUGAUUUGGUUGACAUGAAUGGGAGUUGGAUUUCCAAUAGAUAGAAUGGUUUGGAUUUGAGUGUGGAGCUGUUUGAACAACCUGGUUGCGUUGCGUUGCUCUUCUGCAAGCUGAGAUGGUUGGAUCUUAUUGACAAUGGAAAGCAUCCCCGUGGCUGCUACGUACAUGGCUGUGGAAGAAAUGGUCAUGGCGGUGGCAUCGCCGUGGCUGGUGGAGGCGAUGCCGGCCAUGGUGGCGGCGGCGAGAGUGAGAGCGUUGAUAGAUGAGAGAAGAAGACUGUUCCACUCUUUUCUCUGAUCUCCAAUAUUCUUGUGCAUUUCAACUCUAUCUGCAACUGCUUCCAUAAUCGCGUGAAGCUUAGCUACCACUAAUGCAUCGCCAUCGUCUUUUUCGAUCAGAGCUUCCACAUUAGGGCUCAGCUGCUUUUCGAGUUGUUCAAAACUAGUAGUGUUGCCUCUCAGCUGUGGGAGACUUAUUUUCGUCACUCUUUUUGGGAGAUUGAUCAUUGCCGCCUUUGUACUUCCUCCUCUUCCAUGGGAACUCAUCUUUAUUGAUGAUGAUUGUAAUAUUAUGCUUGAUGAUUUCAUCGCUGCCAUUUUCUUUUUCUUUUUUCCCCCCUUUCUAAAGAUUGUGAAUGACUUAUGAAUUGGCUUGUCUGUUUUGGCGAUAUGUUUGGGUUUGUGUUUGUUGUGUAUAUUUCUGG
rnacentral:lncRNA from 1 species